CGGGUUUUUGAGGGUGUUUUUACGGUUCUAGUGACAGAUUGGCUAGAUUUAUAAAUCGUCAAUAGCAGAAACACUCUUGAAAACACGGCUUAACAUCUCUGUGGCCUUGGAAAACAGUCAUGUUCGGUCACGUGAUAGUGAAGGAGAGAUGAGGAUGGAAGGAAUAAACAAGAGA